GGAUAACCUGCCCUUGGGUCCGGCAUAACCCCGGGAAACUGGGGAUAAUUCCGGAUAACGCAUAUGUGCUGGAAUGCUUUAUGCGUCAAAUGGAUUCGUCUGCCCAAGGAUGGGUCUGCGGCCUAUCAGGUAGUAGUGGGUGUAAUGUACCUACUAGCCAACGACGGGUACGGGUUGUGAGAGCAAGAGCCCGGAGAUGGAUUCUGAGACAUGAAUCCAGGCCCUACGGGGCGCAGCAGGCGCGAAAACUUUACAAUGCGGGAAACCGUGAUAAGGGGACACCGAGUGCCAGCAUCAUAUGCUGGCUGUCCAGGUGUUUAAACUACACCUGUUAGCAAGGGCCGGGCAAGACCGGUGCCAGCCGCCGCGGUAACACCGGCGGCCCGAGUGGUGAUCGUGAUUAUUGGGUCUAAAGGGUCCGUAGCCGGUUUGGUCAGUCCUCCGGGAAAUCUGACGGCUUAACCGUUAGGCUUUCGGGGGAUACUGCCAGGCUUGGAACCGGGAGAGGUAAGAGGUACUACAGGGGUAGGAGUGAAAUCUUGUAAUCCCUGUGGGACCACCUGUGGCGAAGGCGUCUUACCAGAACGGGUUCGACGGUGAGGGACGAAAGCUGGGGGCACGAACCGGAUUAGAUACCCGGGUAGUCCCAGCCGUAAACGAUGCUCGCUAGGUGUCAGGCAUGGCGCGACCGUGUCUGGUGCCGCAGGGAAGCCGUGAAGCGAGCCACCUGGGGAAGUACCGGCCGCAAGGCUGAAACUUAA
rnacentral:rRNA from 1 species